AGUGAACGCUGGCGGUAGGCCUAACACAUGCAAGUCGAACGGCAGCACAGUAAGAGCUUGCUCUUACGGGUGGCGAGUGGCGGACGGGUGAGGAAUACAUCGGAAUCUACUUUUUCGUGGGGGAUAACGUAGGGAAACUUACGCUAAUACCGCAUAUGACCUACGGGUGAAAGCAGGGGAUCUUCGGACCUUGCGCGAUUGAAUGAGCCGAUGUCGGAUUAGCUAGUUGGCGGGGUAAAGGCCCACCAAGGCGACGAUCCGUAGCUGGUCUGAGAGGAUGAUCCGCCACACUGGAACUGAGACACGGUCCAGACUCCUACGGGAGGCAGCAGUGGGGAAUAUUGGACAAUGGGGGCAAGCCUGAUCCAGCCAUACCGCAUGGGUGAAGAAGGCCUUCGGGUUGUAAAGCCCUUUUGUUGGGAAAGAAAAGCAGCAGGUUAAUACCCCGCUGUUCUGACGGUACCCGAAGAAUAAGCACCGGCUAACUUCGUG
rnacentral:rRNA from 1 species